UGGCCGCAGUAUUUUGACUGUGCAAAGGUAGCAUAAUCAUUAGUCUUUUAAUUGGGGGCUUGUAUGAAUGGUUGGACGAAGUAUAAACUGUUUCAUAUAAAUUUAUAGUAUAAUUUUAUAUUUUAGUAAAAAAGCUAAAAUUAUAUUAAAAGACGAGAAGACCCUAUAAAUCUUUAUAUAUAAUUAAUUUAAUUUUAUAUUUUUAUUUAGUUAAAUUAAUUUUAUAUAUUUUAUUGGGGUGAUAUUAAAAUUUAUAAAACUUUUAAUUUAAAUUUACAUUAAUUUAUGAUUUGUUGAUCUGUUAAUAAUAAUUAUAAGAAUAAGUUACUUUAGGGAUAACAGCGUACUUUUUUUGAGAGUUCUUAUUAAUAAAAAAGUUUGCGGCCCCGGAGUGGAUUAAGAAAUAAAUUUAGGUGUAGUAGCUUAAAUAUUAAGUCUGUUCGACUUUUAAAUUCUUCCAUGAUCUGAGUUCAAACCGGCGUAGCCAGGUUGGUUUCUAUCUUUAAUUUAUGGUAAUAUUUUAGUACGAAAGGCCCAAAUAUUAAAUUUAUAAAAAUUUAUUAGUUUGAAGAUAAAUAAGUUAAUU
rnacentral:rRNA from 1 species